rnacentral:sRNA from 1 species
UUGAUGUCAUGUGUAUGUUUGAGUAUAAGAACUAGAACCACAACCGGAUCUUAAAAGCCCAAGUAGUGUAUCCUUGUUAGAAGAUACAAAGUCAAAGACUCAUACGGACUUUGGCUACACCAACAAAGCUUUGAGAAGCAAGAAGAAGUUUGGUUAAUGUUUUGGAGUCAACUAUGACUUCAGGUCAUUUGUAUGAGUAAGUAUAAGAACUAGAACUACAAACGGAUCUUAAAAGGCUAAGUAGUGUUUCCUUGUUAGAGGAUACAAAGACAAAGACUCAUACAAACUUCUUCUACACCAUCAAAGGUUUGAGAAUCAAGAAGAAGCUUAGUUGGUGUCUUGGAGUCAAAUAUGACUAGAUGUCAUUUGUAUGAUUGAGUAUAAGAACUAGAACCGCAAAAGGAUCCCAAAAUGUAAAUUAGUGUUUUCUUGUUAAAAGAUACA